GGGAUAUAGCUGUUUGUAGAGUGCAUGCCUCCCAUGCACGAGGCCCUGGGUUCAAUCCUCAGCAUCACCA
rnacentral:tRNA from 1 species